UACGUAGGUGGCAAGCGUUGUCCGGAUUUACUGGGCGUAAAGAGCGCGCAGGCGGUCGGAUAAGUCGAAUGUGAAAGCCCCCGGCUCAACUGGGGAGGGUCAUUCGAUACUGUUCGACUCGAAGGCAGGAGAGGGAAGUGGAAUUCCCGGGUGUAGUGGUGAAAUGCGUAGAUAUCGGGAGGAACACCAGUGGCGAAGGCGACUUCCUGGCCUGUUCUUGACGCUGAGGCGCGAAAGCUAGGGGAGCAAACGGGG
rnacentral:rRNA from 1 species